GCGCUGCCGACGAGAGAGUGGGCGGAACUGUUCGCCCGGUGAUGGGGGAAAGAAGAACGCGCUUAACGCCCCACGGGCGAAGGGGGGAAGCGCUGAGGAGCGGGAUGAGGUACGUAUAGUACCAGCUUGACACUGCAAUAUUCCUGAAAAUCCUGUGGGCCCAUAGGAUGGAAGCAUCAGAGCAUGGAACUGGUAUCUCAGGGGAACGUGAGACUCAUGACCUGGAACAAGAGGGCUUUAUCUGCUGUGGCAAAAGCAGCAAGAUCAGUGAGUAACUGAAGAAGGCAACCUGCUGGUUGUAACUCUGCACGGGAAACAACAUGUUGAGAGAAAUGUGCCUGAAUAUCUCAAAAGGGGCCAUGUAUUAUUCUGGGAUAUGUCAGGAUAUGAGAAUUUUGAUGGUGUAAGGUCAAAAUUCUCAGCCAGGUGUAGACUCUGUGACAGAGUCAUAUGCACAUUGAAGAGCAUUUCAUAAUGCAGCACUGGACUGCUUCGGAAGAUGGACAGAAUCACAUUGGAGAAAGCCUGGAAGAUCAGGACAUGACAGGCAUAAAUGAUCUCUGGAAAAUGGAACACUUGGAAGAGAUGGACCAUGUGGGUUCUGCUGGUGGCAUCAGUCUUGUAGAUAGUUAAGAUGAGAGCUUAUAGAUCCAAGCCUCCAUGCUAGUUAACUUCUGUGUGUUUUUGGAAAAAAAUCAAGAUAAUCAUUUGCAAGAGAAUUCUAAGUAAGCAUUAUGAGAUAGCAGCAAAGUAAUGAUGAGUUUUGCUACUUUAGAAGAAAUAGGAGUGUUGCAGAGCCUUCUCCAGGUCGCUUCACUGUUAGGGAGUUUGCUGAAACCAGCUUCCUAAGGCAUGAAUGCUUGAAAAAACCUACUAGUAGAAGAGCUUGUGAAAAUGGGAUUGCAUGUACUUAAGAGGAAGGAUGAACUAAAAUUCCAGAAAAAAAGAAAGCACUUAAUUAUGAAGAUAAUGUCAGAUUUUCCAGUUACAGAUGGUACAACGUAUUUAAUCUCCUGCAGAGACCCAAGUGGCAGCUCUUGCCUUGUACUCACAGCCAUGGCUGACACACGUGGGCAGUUGUACCCAGAGUUGGAGAUGAGCCACUCUGGGCUACCAAAUCACCCACAGUCUCAGGAAGAUGGAUGGAUGAUAACAUCUUUCAGUCUUCUGAGGGCUUUGUGACUUUGCCACAAUGGUUCAUCUCUGCUAUGGUCUAAAGAUGACACGGCUGGGAGGAAGAACAGCCAGAAGGGCUUUGGUUACCAUUUGUUGAGUCUGGGAAGAAGCUAGAUGCAAAAAAAAAAGAGAAGUUGUAGAAAGGGGCAUCAUCCAGACUAGUGAGAAGUGGUAGGACUAGAACUUAAAGGCUUUGAGAACUGUAGAACUUGAUGAUUAAAACAAAUGUACGGAAGUAAACAUCUUGAAAGGUGUGCAACAAGUUUUAUGACACAUCUCUCAGGCAAAAUAUUCCAAAUUGCCAUAGAUUUGUUUGCAAUAGUAUGUCUGGAUGUGUGGGAAGCUCUGACUGAGGACAUGUCCUAUGGCACAUUCUAGACCUGUUCUGUACAAUUAAUCAAUUUAAUCUCUGAGGCAACUGUUUCAUCACUAGAACAAAUAAACCAAGACUGUAUCGCAUUUUGGAUUCAUGAACUGCUCUGGUUGUAGGGUACCAAGUUAUCUGUGGUAAAGGAAUAUGAGUAAGAGUAAGUAUCCUGGGAAGUAAAGGUUGUGUCCUGCCAUGUCUCUAAUGGAUGUAUAUAUUUAACUAGCACAUUAUCUGGUACAUUUAAUAUGAGGUUUUAUUUAGAAAUUUUUCUGUUUCUCAGCAAAACUGUUGACUGCUCUCCAUAAUAAUAAAUAGACUGUUGAUAAAAUAUGCCACUGGUAUUUUGUAAAUAUAAUUAGUCUGGAAGUUCUGUUUCUUUUUGCAGUUCUACAGUUGUCUGUUGUGACCUUCUCCUCAUAGUAACAAGCAUGAAAAAUAUGCUUGGAAUACACAUGAAAGUCAUUUUCUAUUGCUCUACAAAAGCCAUUGACAGUUUGUUGCAUACAGUUGCAUCUGUUUUACUUUUUUGACCAGGCCCAGGCCAAGUGUGUAUUCUAAGCCUAAAGUAUAAUAAACUUUAGUAGUUCUGACAUAAAACUAGGCCUAGUUGGCUGAAGAACAGUUCAAUACAUGGGUUCUUCUACUAAUACUAGUGCACUGUUUCUGCCCAAGCAGUCAGACAGCUCUGAAUCUUUCCUGGAUGUGGCUGUAACUUUAAAUGCUUUUGGUAACAAGCACUAAUAAUAAUAAUAAUAAUAGUAAUAAUAAUAAUAAAAUAAUUCCAACACUUCAUGUAGCUCAUCUGAAAUACAAAAUGCUGUGAUGCAGGAACACGUUUGGAAACAUCAGAGUGGAAAUGACUGUGAGUCCCUGUUCUUUAAAAGUUGGACCAGUGACUUGCUUUGAAUCACGUUGCUAUCAAACAGCAGAGGUACGUCCCACCUACAAAUAAUAGUUCUUAUCUUGUGUAUUUUGAAAGUCUUAUUCUGUCAGAAAUCCAUCCUAAGACAAAAGAUAAUGUUAAAAGUAAUGCUACUUUCUAUCAUAUAUCCAUUGUCUAUCGUAUAUCCAGAUGCACAUUCAUUUUGGAGGAAGCAGAUCUGCAUUUUUUAGUUAGGAAAGGCUGCAUUUUUUAGUUAGGAAAGGCUUCCUAUUACCUCAGAACUUUUUUUAGAACAUGGGUUUUCAUUUAUAAAUAAGUAUUUUUGUUUUUAAAGAGUAGAGCUUCCCACCUCCUACUUCUGCCAUGUCCUUCUUUAUCCUUGUUAUUUUACCAAUGAUGUCCUGCUCUUGGAGACAAAUCACUUUGUUGGCUGCAUCUAAUCCUAAAAUCUAUGAGAAAUGUAACUCAGUCAUACAUCUAAUGCAAAGAAGACUUUAUCAAAUGUAACUUCUUUAAGAUAAAUGAAUUUUGGCUCCAUAUAUUUUCCUCAUCAUUUCUUGUAUACUUUGAGCUAGCCCCAUUGCAUUGCUUUGCUUUCUUUCAGACAAAUCAUCGUGAUGCAAACAGCAUUUUUAUAUAAAUGUGACAAGGUUCUGCUUGUUCCUGACAGUAUCCAGUGCACGUCUCAUGCCACCUUCUCAGUCAGCAGCACAGCCUGAGGCUUCUCAUGGGGGAAGCUGGAAAAACAAUAACAUGCUCAUCACAUUACACCUCUCAGGAGCAGUGCUGAAUCCUUGGGGUGGCACUGUGUGUACCUGCACUGAUGUUCUGCAAGGGCUGGGAGAAACUUGUGAGAGAAGCACGCUGGUCAAGGCCGCCAUGUAUGGAACUGUGAGGUAUGUGGAGCUU